rnacentral:tRNA from 4 species
UCCCCGAUAGCUCAAUAGGUAGAGCGAGCGGCUGUUAACCGCUAGGUCGUAGGUUCGAGCCCUACUCGGGGAG